rnacentral:rRNA from 1 species
AUUGAACGCUGGCGGCAUGCCUUACACAUGCAAGUCGAACGGCAGCACGGGAGCAAUCCUGGUGGCGAGUGGCGAACGGGUGAGGUAAUAUAUCGGAACGUGCCCAGUCGUGGGGAUAACGUAGCGAAAGCUACGCUAAUACCGCAUACGAUCUAUGGAUGAAAGCGGGGGAUCGCAAGACCUCGCGCGAUUGGAGCGGCCGAUAUCAGAUUAGGUAGUUGGUGAGGUAAAGGCUCGCCAAGCCGACGAUCUGUAGCUGGGUCCUGAGAGGACGA